rnacentral:rRNA from 1 species
GACGAACGCUGGCGGCGUGCCUAAUACAUGCAAGUCGAACGCAGUGGGGACGGGUGAGUAACACGUGGGUAACCUCCCAUCAGAGGGGAUAACACUUGGAAACAGGUGCUAAACCGAUACUGAUGGAUGGACCCGCGGUGCAUUAGCUAGUUGGUGAGGUAACGGCUCACCAAGGCCACGAUGCAUAGCCGACCGGGGGGGGGGAGCGGCCAACUGGGGAUGAAGAAAGGGCCCAGACCCCUCGGGGAGGCAGAAGGGGGGAAUCUUCGGCAAGGGACGAAAGUCGGAGCGAGCAAGGCCGGGGGAGUGAAGAAGGUUUUCGGAUCGUAAAACUCUGUUGUGAGGGAAGCGGUAUCUAAACAGAAAGCCACGGCUAACUACGUGCCAGCAGCCGCGGUAAUUC